ACCUGGGUGGCUUAGUUGGUUAAGUAUCUGACUUACACUCAGGUCAUGAUCUCACAGUUCACGGGUUCAAGCCCUGCAUCAGGCU
rnacentral:tRNA from 1 species